ACUUUGCAUGCACGGAAAGUGUGACAGGGCUAUCCCGAGUGCCGCCCGCUUUUGGGGGCUUUUGCCCAGGGCAAAAGCUGGGAGAAUAAGGAGAGGUCAAGUCUGGUGUCAGCCGCCGCGGUAAUACCAGCUCUCCGAGUGCUGUGGAUGUUUAUUGGGUCUAAAGCAUCCGUAACUUGGUGAGUUAGUCCCCUGUUAAAUCCAAUGAAUUAAUUGUUGGUGUGCGGGGGAUACUGUUUGGCUAGGGGACGAGGGAGGCAGACGGAAUUUGCGGGUAGGGGUGAAAUCCAAUAAUCGGGGACUUACCACCAAUGGCUAAAACUGUCUGCUAAGAAAGGCUCCAGUNAGGGAUGAAAGCUGGGGGAACCAACCGGAUUAAAUACCCCGGUAAUCCCAGCUGUAAACUAUGCAAGCUACGUGUUUGGGCGGCCACCUGCCUUUUUAGUGCCGCAAGGAAGCUGUUAAUCCUGCCACCUGGGGAGUACCGGCGCAAGAAUUAAACUUAAAAGAAUUGGAGGGUGAACACAAGGUUGAAACUUAAAGGAAUUGGCGGGGGGAGCACA
rnacentral:rRNA from 1 species